CUACGUGCCAGCAGCCGCGGUAAUACGUAGGGUGCGAGCGUUAAUCGGAAUUACUGGGCGUAAAGCGGGCGCAGACGGUUACUUAAGCAGGAUGUGAAAUCCCCGGGCUCAACCUGGGAACUGCGUUCUGAACUGGGUAACUAGAGUGUGUCAGAGGGAGGUAGAAUUCCACGUGUAGCAGUGAAAUGCGUAGAGAUGUGGAGGAAUACCGAUGGCGAAGGCAGCCUCCUGGGAUAACACUGACGUUCAUGCCCGAAAGCGUGGGUAGCAAACAGGAUUAGAUACCCUGGUAGUCCACGCCCUAAACGAUGUCGAUUAGCUGUUGGGCAGCUUGACUGCUUAGUAGCGAAGCUAACGCGUGAAAUCGACCGCCUGGGGAGUACGGUCGCAAGAUUAAAACUCAAAGGAAUUGACGGGGACCCGCACAAGCGGUGGAUGAUGUGGAUUAAUUCGAUGCAACGCGAAGAACCUUACCKGUCUUGACAU
rnacentral:rRNA from 1 species